GAUACUUGUCCCGUUACUUGCCUC
rnacentral:siRNA from 1 species